rnacentral:rRNA from 1 species
AUUGAACGCUAGCGGGAUGCUUUACACAUGCAAGUCGAACGAGUGGCGGACGGGUGAGUAAUAUCUCGGAACGUGCCCAGUAGCGGGGGAUAACUACUCGAAAGAGUGGCUAAUCCCGCAUACAAUUGGAUCGGCCGAUAUGGGAUUAGCUAGUUGGUGGGGUAAAGGCUCACCAAGGCAACGCUCCGUAGCUGGUUUGAGAGGACGACCAGCCACACUGGAACUGAGACACGGCCCAGACUCCUACGGGAGGCAGCAGUGGGGAAUUGUGGACAAUGGGGGAAACCCUGAUCCAGACAUACCGCGUGUAUGAGAAGGCCUUCGGGUUGUAAAGUACUUUUGGCAGAGAAGCGGUAUCUGCAGAAUAAGCACCGGCUAACUCCGUGCCAGCAGCCGCGGUAAUAC